rnacentral:rRNA from 1 species
AUGCUCUUUGUGGAUGAUGUGGUGUUAGUUGACGAUAGUCGGACGGGAGUAAAUAGGAAGUUAGAGUUAUGGAGACAAACCUUGGAAUCGAAAGGGUUUAGGCUUAGUAGAACUAAAACCGAGUACAUGAUGUGCGGUUUCAAUACUACUGGGUGUGAGGAGGAGGAGGUUAGCCUUGAUGAGCAGGUGGUACCUCAGAAGGACACCUUUCGAUAUUUGGGGUCAAUGCUGCAGGAGGAUGGGGGUAUUGAUGAAGAUGUGAACCAUCGAAUCAAAGCCGGAUGGAUGAAGUGGCGCCAAGCUUCUGGCAUUCUCUUUGACAAGAGAGUGCCACAAAAGCUAAAAGGCAAGUUCUACAUGACGGUUGUUCGACCCGCAAUGUUGUAUGGCGCUGAGUGUUGA